AUUGAACGCUGGCGGCAUGGCUAAAACAUGCAAGUCGAACGGAUCAGCAAUGAUCAGUGGCGGAAGGGUCAGUAAUGCGAUCGAAUGUACCCCGAGGUGGGGGAUAGGUCGGGGAAACCCGGCGUAAUACCCCAUGUCCUCUCCGGAGAAAAGAUUUAUCGCCUUGGGAGCAGCGAUCGUCCUAUCAGGUAGUUGGCGGGGUAAAAGCCCACCAAGCCGAAGACGGGUAGCGGGUGUGAGAGCACGGCCCGCGACAUCGAGACUGAGACACUGCUCGGACUCCUACGGGAGGCUGCAGUAACGAAUAUUCCGCAAUGGGCGAAAGCCUGACGGAGCAAUGCCGCGUGCAGGAUGAAGCGG
rnacentral:rRNA from 1 species